GAAACCGGGCGAACUACCAAUGGGAAGGAUGAAGCGAAAGUAAAAUUUCGUGGAGGUCCGAACCCACGAGCGUUGAAAAGCUCGGGGAUGACUUGUGGGUAGCGGUGAAAUUCCAAUCGAGCCCGGAGAUAGCUGGUUCUCCCCGAAAUAGCUGUAGGGCUAGCCUCAAGGUGAGAGAUACGGAGGUAGAGCACUGAAUGUCCUAGGGGGUAUUGCACCUACCGAAGACUAUCAAACUCCGAAUGCCGUCAUCUUAUACCUGGGAG
rnacentral:rRNA from 1 species